GACGAACGCUGGCGGCGUGCUUAACACAUGCAAGUCGAACGGAAAGGCCCUGCUUUUGUGGGUUGCUCGAGUGGCGAACGGGGGAGUAACACGUGAGUAACCUGCCCUUGACUUUGGGAUAACUUUAGGAAACUGGGGCUAAUACCGGAUAGGAGCUCCUGCUGCAUGGUGGGGGUUGGAAAGUUUCGGCGGUUUGGGCUGGACUCGCGGCUUAUCAGCUUGUUGGUGGGGUAGUGACUUACCAAGUCUUUGACGGCUAGCCUGCCUGAGAGGGUGGACGGCGACAUUGGGACUGAGAUACGGCGCAGACUGCUACGGGAGGCAGUAGUGGAAAAUAUUGCAGAAUGGGCGGAAGCCUGAUGCAGCAACGCCGCGUGCGGGAUGACGGCCUUCGGGUUGUAAACCGCUUUCGCCUGUGACGAAGCGUGAGUGACGGUAAUGGGUAAAGAAGCAACGGCUAACUACGUG
rnacentral:rRNA from 1 species